ACCCGCACAAGCGGUGGAGCAUGUGGUUUAAUUCGAUGCAACGCGAAGAACCUUACCUGGUCUUGACAUACACGGAACUUUCCAGAGAUGGAUUGGUGCCUUCGGGAACCGUGAUACAGGUGCUGCAUGGCUGUCGUCAGCUCGUGUCGUGAGAUGUUGGGUUAAGUCCCGUAACGAGCGCAACCCUUAUCCUUAUUUGCCAGCACAUCAUGGUGGGAACUAUAAGGAGACUGCCGGUGAUAAACCGGAGGAAGGCGGGGACGACGUCAAGUCAUCAUGGCCCUUACGACCAGGGCUACACACGUGCUACAAUGGGAAGGACAAAGGGUUGCUAAGCCGCGAGGUAGUGCUAAUCUCAUAAACCUUUUCGUAGUCCGGAUCGGAGUCUGCAACUCGACUCCGUGAAGUCGGAAUCGCUAGUAAUCGUGGAUCAGAAUGCCACGGUGAAUACGUUCCCGGGUCUUGUACACACCGCCCGUCAUACCAUGGGAGUGGGUUGCACCAGAAGUGGCUAGUCUAACUUAGUGAGGACGGUCACCACGGUGUGAUCCAUGACUGGGGUAAAGUCGUAACAAGGUA
rnacentral:rRNA from 1 species